UAGGGAAUAUUGGACAAUGGGCGCAAGCCUGAUCCAGCCAUGCCGCGUGAGUGAUGAAGGCCCUAGGGUUGUAAAGCUCUUUCACCGGUGAAGAUAAUGACGGUAACCGGAGAAGAAGCCCCGGCUAACUUCGUGCCAGCAGCCGCGGUAAUACGAAGGGGGCUAGCGUUGUUCGGAUUUACUGGGCGUAAAGCGCACGUAGGCGGACUUUUAAGUCAGGGGUGAAAUCCCGGGGCUCAACCCCGGAACUGCCUUUGAUACUGGAAGUCUUGAGUAUGGUAGAGGUGAGUGGAAUUCCGAGUGUAGAGGUGAAAUUCGUAGAUAUUCGGAGGAACACCAGUGGCGAAGGCGGCUCACUGGACCAUUACUGACGCUGAGGUGCGAAAGCGUGGGGAGCAAACAGG
rnacentral:rRNA from 1 species